rnacentral:rRNA from 1 species
GGACCCGCACAAGUAGUGGAGCAUGUGGUUUAAUUCGAAGAUACGCGCAGAACCUUACCAACACUUGACAUGUUCGUCGCGACUUUAAGAGAUUAAAGUUUUCGGUUCGGCCGGACGAAACACAGGUGCUGCAUGGCUGUCGUCAGCUCGUGUCGUGAGAUGUUGGGUUAAGUCCCGCAACGAGCGCAACCCUCACUUUUAGUUGCCAUCAUUAAGUUGGGCACUCUGAAAGAACUGCCAGUGAUAAGCUGGAGGAAGGUGGGGAUGACGUCAAGUCCUCAUGGCCCUUACGUGUUGGGCUACACACGUGCUACAAUGGCAUUUACAAUAGGAAGCAAGAUGGCGACGUCAAGCAAAUCCUAAAAAGAUGCCUCAGUUCGGAUUGUACUCUGCAACUCGAGUACAUGAAGCUGGAAUUACUAGUAAUCG